rnacentral:rRNA from 1 species
CACGGCCCAGACUCCUACGGGAGGCAGCAGUGGGGAAUAUUGGACAAUGGGGGCAACCCUGAUCCAGCCAUCCCGCGUGUGCGAUGAAGGCCUUCGGGUUGUAAAGCACUUUUGGCAGGAAAGAAACGUCGCGGGCUAAUACCCCGUGGAACUGACGGUACCUGCAGAAUAAGCACCGGCUAACUCUGUGCCAGCAGCCGCGGUAAUACGGAGGGUGCAAGCGUUAAUCGGAAUUACUGGGCGUAAAGCGUGCGCAGGCGGUUUUGUAAGACCGAUGUGAAAUCCCCGGGCUCAACCUGGGAACU